rnacentral:tRNA from 1 species
GAAAGAGGCCAGGAGCAAUAGAAACUGCUAAUCCCUAUUACCAUGGUUAAAUUCCACGGCUCAUUCA